rnacentral:rRNA from 1 species
CACCUGUUGCCACCUAAAAUCCAGCUCAGCAUCAAAGGCAUUCCAACCUUGAUGAAAAAUCUGCCGCCAACUCUUCCAGGAUGCGGUAUCCUCAACUUUGUCAAAAACUACAUGUGA